UGGGGAAUAUUGCACAAUGGGCGCAAGCCUGAUGCAGCAACGCCGCGUGAACGAUGAAGGUCUUCGGAUCGUAAAGUUCUGUUGCAGGGGAAGAUAAUGACGGUACCCUGUGAGGAAGCCCCGGCUAACUACGUGCCAGCAGCCGCGGUAAUACGUAGGGGGCUAGCGUUAUCCGGAUUUACUGGGCGUAAAGGGUGCGUAGGUGGUCUUUCAAGUCGGUGGUUAAAGGCUACGGCUCAACCGUAGUUAGCCUCCGAAACUGGAAGACUUGAGUGCAGGAGAGGAAAGUGGAAUUCCCAGUGUAGCGGUGAAAUGCGUAGAUAUUGGGAGGAACACCAGUAGCGAAGGCGGCUUUCUGGACUGCAACUGACGCUGAGGUGCGAAAGCGUGGGGAGCAAACAGG
rnacentral:rRNA from 1 species